rnacentral:tRNA from 1 species
UCUUUUUUAGGUUAAGGAAACCUUUAGUUUGUGGUAUUAAAAUUAUAAUUUAUUUAUAAAAAGAA